rnacentral:rRNA from 1 species
UACAGAGGUCUCGAGCGUUGCUCGGAUUCAUUGGGCGUAAAGGGUGCGUAGGUGGCAAGGUAAGUCGGAUGUGAAAUCCCGGGGCUCAACCCCGGAACUGCAUUCGAUACUGCCUGGCUAGAGUACUGGAGAGGAGAUUGGAAUUUACGGUGUAGCAGUGAAAUGCGUAGAUAUCGUAAGGAAGACCAGUGGCGAAGGCGGAUCUCUGGACAGUUACUGACACUGAGGCACGAAGGCCAGGGGAGCAAACGGG